CCCAUCUCAGCCCUUUAUUUCAAGGGCUGAGAUUAAAUCCCAGCCCAUACUUAAAACUAAUUACACUCUUCCCCCCUCUCCUCCCAUCUCUCACGUCAGACACAAGCCAUCCUCUGUGACAGACCAUCCCUCCACUCCGACUCCACCUCCCUCCACUCCGACCGACGUGCUCAGCCCCCGCCACCGACAACCCUCAGUCCCCUGCCGCCGACGCCCCUCUCUCUCCACCGACGACCCACGCCCGACGACCCCUCUCUCUGGUUGAGAGACAUUAAGCCUGAUAACUUGCUGCUUGAUAGAUAUGGUCACUUGAGACUAUCAAAUUUUGGACUAUGUAAACCCUUAGAUUGAAGCGCUCUCAAAGAGAAGGAUUUUUCAGGGGCAGGCAGUUUUAAUGGAACUUCACAAAAUGGUGAACGCUUGGUUUAGACUUCUAGUUGACUUAUGAUUGGUGCUUUUUUAGGUGGUUGCUUGGUGCUAUUAUGUAUGAAAUGCUCGUGGGAUAUCCUCCUUUUAUUCUAAUGAUCCCAUGUCAACAUGUAGAAAGUUAAAAUUGCAGAUGCUGAAUUAUAUUUUAUCAAGGGACGGAAAUGCAUUGCGGAUGAUAAUCUUCAUGACGCAAAGAUAGCUAUGAAGGAUUUGAUUGAUUUUAUGGGAAGCAAGAAAAGUGGACUGUACAAUUAUGUCAGAAGAAACAAGAAAAAUUGGAUGCUCCUAUUUCUUUACAAAUUGAAAAAAGUCUCAUGCCUUCGGGAAGAGGGAAUGAUGCAUCAUCAGAGAGAUGAAUUUUGUUUAGAGAGAUUAAUUUUGUAACUUAUACUCAGAUGAUGUAAUUACAUUAGAACUUCAAUAAAAAUUCAGUUUAUACA